ACUGCUCAGUAACACGUAGUUAACCUAACCUAUGGAUGGGGAUAACCUCGGGAAACUGAGAAUAAUCCCCGAUAGACCACAAUGCCUGGAAUGGUUUGUGGUUGAAAUGAUUUAUCGCCGUAGGAUGGGACUGCGGCCUAUCAGCUAGUUGGUGAGGUAAUGGCCCACCAAGGCUAUAACAGGUACGGGCUCUGAGAGGAGGGGCCCGGAGAUGGGUACUGAGACACGGACCCAGGCCCUAUGGGGCGCAGCAGGCGAGAAACCUUUGCAAUGUGCGAAAGCACGACAAGGUUAAUCCGAGUGUCUUCUGCUAAAGAAGUCUUUUGUUAGUCAUAGAACCACUGAUGAAUAAGGGGUGGGCAAGUUCUGGUGUCAGCCGCCGCGGUAAAACCAGCACCUCGAGUGGUCAGGAGGUUUAUUGGGCCUAAAGCAUCCGUAGCCGGUUGUUUAAGUUUUCGGUUAAAUCUAUGCGCUUAACGUAUAGGCUGCCGAAAAUACUGGACAGCUAGGGAGUGGGGGAGGUACACGGUACUCAAUAGGAAGGGGUAAAAUCCUUUGAUCUGUUGAUGACCACCUGUGGCGAAGGCGGUGUACCAGAACACGUUCGACGGUGAGGGAUGAAAGCUGGGGGAGCAAACCGGAUUAGAUACCCGGGUAGUCCCAGCUGUAAACGAUGCAAACUCGGUGAUGCAUUGGCUUGUGGCCAAUGCAGUGCCGCAGGGAAGCCGUUAAGUUUGCCGCCUGGGAAGUACGUACGCAAGUAUGAAACUUAAAGGAAUUGGCGGGGGAGCAC
rnacentral:rRNA from 1 species